GUGGAAAGAUUUAUCGCCGAAGGAUUGGCCCGCGUUGGAUUAGCUAGUUGGUGGGGUAACGGCCUACCAAGGCAACGAUCUAUAGCUGGUCUGAGAGGAUGAUCAGCCACACUGGGACUGAGACACGGCCCAGACUCCUGCGGGAGGCAGCAGUGGGGAAUAUUGGACAAUGGGCGCAAGCCUGAUCCAGCCAUGCCGCGUGAGUGAAGAAGGCCUUAGGGUUGUAAAACUCUUUCACCGGUGAAGAUAAUGACGGUAACCGGAGAAGAAGCCCCGGCUAACUCCGUGCCAGCAGCCGCGGUAAUACGGAGGGGGCUAGCGUUGUUCGGAAUCACUGGGCGUAAAGCGCGCGUAGGCGGUUUAUCAAGUUGGGCGUGAAAUCCCGGGGCUCAACCCCGGAAUAGCGCCCAAAACUGGUUGACUCGAGUCCGAGAGAGGGUGGUGGAAUUCCCAGUGUAGAGGUGAAAUUCGUAGAUAUUCGGAGGAACACCAGAGGCGAAGGCGGCUUACUGGACUGACACUGACGCUGAGGUACGAAAGCGUGGGGAGCAAACAGGAUUAGAUACCCUGGUAGUCCACGCCGUAAACGAUGAGAGCUAGUUGUCAGCAAGCAUGCUUGUUGGUGACCGCAGCUAACGCAUUAAGCUCUCCGCCUGGGGAGUACGGUCGCAAGAUUAAAACUCAAAGAAAUUGACGGGGGCCCGCACAAGCGGUGGAGCAUGUGGUUUAAUUCGAAGCAACGCGCAGAACCUUACCUACCCUUGACAUACCGAUCGCGUUUUCCAGAGAUGGAUUACUUAGCUAGGCUGGAUCGGAUACAGGUGCUGCAUGGCUGUCGUCAGCUCGUGUCUUGAGAUGUUGGGUUAAGUCCCGCAACGAGCGCAACCCUCGCCACUAGUUGCCAUCAUUUAGUUGGGCACUCUAGGGGGACCGCCGGUGUCAAGCCGGAGGAAGGCGGGGACGACGUCAAGUCAUCAUGGCCCUUACGUGUAGGGCUACAAACGUGCUACAAUGGCAGUGACAGUGGGCAGCAAAGUCGCGAGGCUAAGCUAAUCUCUAAAAACUGUCUCAGUUCGGAUUGCACUCUGCAACUCGAGUGCAUGAAGUCGGAAUCGCUAGUAAUCGUGGAUCAGCAUGCCACGGUGAAUACGUUCCCGGGUCUUGUACACACCGCCCGUCACAUCAUGGGAGUUGGUUCUGCCCGAAGGUGCUGUGCUAACC
rnacentral:rRNA from 1 species